rnacentral:rRNA from 1 species
CUGCAGUCGAGCGGACGAAGGGAGCUUGCUCCCGGAUGUUAGCGGCGGACGGGUGAGUAACACGUGGGUAACCUGCCUGUAAGACUGGGAUAACUCCGGGAAACCGGAGCUAAUACCGGAUAGUUCCUUGAACCGCAUGGUUCAAGGAUGAAAGACGGUUUCGGCUGUCACUUACAGAUGGACCCGCGGCGCAUUAGCUAGUUGGUGGGGUAAUGGCUCACCAAGGCGACGAUGCGUAGCCGACCUGAGAGGGUGAUCGGCCACACUGGGACUGAGACACGGCCCAGACUCCUACGGGAGGCAGCAGUAGGGAAUCUUCCGCAAUGGACGAAAGUCUGACGGAGCAACGCCGCGUGAGUGAUGAAGGUUUUCGGAUCGUAAAGCUCUGUUGUUAGGGAAGAACAAGUGCGAGAGUAACUGCUCGCACCUUGACGGUACCUAACCAGAAAGCCACGGCUAACUACGUGCCAGCAGCCGCGGUAAUACGUAGGUGGCAAGCGUUGUCCGGAAUUAUUGGGCGUAAAGGGCUCGCAGGCGGUUUCUUAAGUCUGAUGUGAAAGCCCCCGGCUCAACCGGGGAGGGUCAUUGGAAACUGGGAAACUUGAGUGCAGAAGAGGAGAGUGGAAUUCCACGUGUAGCGGUGAAAUGCGUAGAGAUGUGGAGGAACACCAGUGGCGAAGGCGACUCUCUGGUCUGUAACUGACGCUGAGGAGCGAAAGCGUGGGGAGCGAACAGGAUUAGAUACCCUGGUAGUCCACGCCGUAAACGAUGAGUGCUAAGUGUUAGGGGGUUUCCGC